UUCUAUUUCCGUUCUUACAGUUAAUUGAAAAAUCUGCGUGGAUACGUCAUUAGAUUCUUCGUAUCUGUUGAAAGCUUGAUUUCUUCGUAUUGCAAAGGCUCAACGGGCAAUGGUCGACUCAGACUAUCGAGGGUCUUGAAAGGAUUCCUUUGAAUCGAGUCACUGUCCGUGGAGCACACCCAAGGAAUCGUUCGAGUCUGGUUUAGUCAUUGCUCGAAAAUCUACUGCUUUAUACUAUUUCAAGAUCUUAAAUAGAUUUUGCUACAAGUUGACUGUAAAAAUUUCACGAGUAGCAAGGGGCUUUCGUCCAGAAGCGAAACGAAAGUUUCGAAAAGCGAAUCGGUCACGAUUCACUGACCGGUUCACGUGGAGGAAUUAUAGCCGAGGAAUUAAACGAUGCACGCGUAAUCCUUGGAUUUUCGUCGAAACAUUUUCAUCCUCCGCUUCCCUGUUCAUUUCCAAGUCAAAGAGAUAGAACAACGUGGCAAAUGCAAGAUCAGCUAAACCUCGGCCAUGUUCCACGCCGGUUUUAACGUUAUGUAAAGUGAUUCUUUUCGCGAGAAGAUAGACCUGCUAUGACGCAACUGGCCUGAAGUGUAAUUUUUAUCUCCCUGGUCGUUACCAAGUUUUUACGGUCACCCAAAGCGAUCUAAAGGAAA
rnacentral:misc_RNA from 1 species